AGCGAGAUGUUCUAGAGGCGCUGACUGCCAGUCCUUCGGCGCCUGAGUGUUAGCCAGUCACGGUGUUUCCUCCUGGCUCCUCUACAUCCGCUGAUCCUGAGCCUACCUGUCCGCCCUCCGACGUACUCCCUUUGCCUCCUGGAUCCCCGCUGUCAGACAAGUCGACCACCUGGAACCUCUGAGAACUAAAACCCCGGACUCUGCAGUUACCCUCCCACUUCUCUAACCUGCCGAUCACAAUGAACUGUUUGAUUCCCUGAACCAGCCUCUCUCCCUGGACCUGACCCGAGCCAACUAUUCCUGCCAGCAGUGUUUUCAAUAAAUUUAUCUUUUAUUUCACAUUGCUCUCCUGUGUGGUGUUCUGCAUGUGGGCUUG